ACUUUUUUAUUAGGAAUUGUAAUCUAGAAAUUACUUAAAGUAUAUGGAAGGAUGUGUGUAGAUUACAUGCAAAUACAGCACCAUUUUAUAUUAGGGACUUGAGCAGUUUCAGAUUUGGGUAUCCAUGGAGGUCCCU